UACGGGCGGGGCGAGCGUUGUUCGGAUUCAUUGGGUGUAAAGGGUGCGAAGGCGGUCGUCUAAGUCGAAGGUGAAAUGUCUACGGCUCAACCGAGGCAUUGCCUCCGAUACUGGACGACUUGAGUGCGGAAGGGGAGCGUGGAAUUCCUGGUGUAGCGGUGAAAUGCGUAGAUAUCAGGAGGAACACCGGUGGCGAAGGCGACGCUCUGGUCCGCAACUGACGCUCAUGCACGAAAGCCAGGGGAGCGAACGGG
rnacentral:rRNA from 2 species